AGCGAACGGGGAGCAGCCCAGAGCCUGAAUCAGUGUGUGUGUUAGUGGAAGCGUCUGGAAAGGCGUGCGAUACAGGGUGACAGCCCCGUACACAAAAAUGCACAUACUGUGAGCUCGAUGAGUAGGGCGGGACACGUGGUAUCCUGUCUGAAUAUGGGGGGACCAUCCUCCAAGGCUAAAUACUCCUGACUGACCGAUAGUGAACCAGUACCGUGAGGGAAAGGCGAAAAGAACCCCGGCGAGGGGAGUGAAAAAGAACCUGAAACCGUGUACGUACAAGCAGUGGGAGCCUCUUAAUGGGGUGACUGCGUACCUUUUGUAUAAUGGGUCAGCGACUUAUAUUCUGUAGCAAGGUUAACCGAAUAGGGGAGCCGAAGGGAAACCGAGUCUUAACUGGGCGUUAAGUUGCAGGGUAUAGACCCGAAACCCGGUGAUCUAGCCAUGGGCAGGUUGAAGGUUGGGUAACACUAACUGGAGGACCGAACCGACUAAUGUUGAAAAAUUAGCGGAUGACUUGUGGCUGGGGGUGAAAGGCCAAUCAAACCGGGAGAUAGCUGGUUCUCCCCGAAAGCUAUUUAGGUAGCGCCUCGUGAAUUCAUCUCCGGGGGUAGAGCACUGUUUCGGCAAGGGGGUCAUCCCGACUUACCAACCCGAUGCAAACUGCGAAUACCGGAGAAUGUUAUCACGGGAGACACACGGCGGGUGCUAACGUCCGUCGUGAAGAGGGAAACAACCCAGACCGCCAGCUAAGGUCCCAAAGUCAUGGUUAAGUGGGAAACGAUGUGGGAAGGCCCAGACAGCCAGGAUGUUGGCUUAGAAGCAGCCAUCAUUUAAAGAAAGCGUAAUAGCUCACUGGUCGAGUCGGCCUGCGCGGAAGAUGUAACGGGGCUAAACCAUG
rnacentral:rRNA from 1 species